rnacentral:rRNA from 1 species
CAAUAGCGUAUAUUAAAGUUGUUGCAGUUAAAAAGCUCGUAGUUGGAUUUCUGGUAGGAGUGACCGUUCCGAACUUGAUUGUUCGUGUAUUGUGUUUUCUCCAGCCAUCCUUGUGGAGAACUUUUCUUGCAUUAAUUUGUAGGGAUUGGGACCCGCAUCGUUUACUGUGAAAAAAUUAGAGUGUAUAAAGCAGGCAAUCGCUUGAAUACAUUAGCAUGGAAUAAUAAGAUAGGACUUUGGUACUAUUUUGUUGGUUUGCAUACCAAAUUAAUGAUCAACAGGAACAGUUUGAGGAUAUUCGUAUGAACAUGUCAGAGGUGAAAUUCUUGGAUUUUGAUCAGACGAACUACUGCGAAAGCAUUUAUCAAGGAUGUUUUCAUUAA